AGUGAAUCUUGAUACUUGGAUGGCUGAGCUCAGAUUCCAUAUGGACUGGCCAAAGAGCUUGAGAUCUUUCUAUCUCUGCAUCCCGGUGCUGAAGUUACAGACAGGAGUGAUCUGCCCAGCCUGGACAUGAGUACAGGAGGUCCAAACUUAGGUCCUCAUGCUUGUUAGCAAGCAUUUCAUCCGCUGAGCCAUUUUCCUAACUCUAGAAACAUUUAUUUGUUUUUAUUUUAUUUGUAUGCAUAUCUACAUAUAUGCAUAUGUACCAAGUGGGUUCCUGGUGCCACCUGGGUUCUUGGUUCCUGUACCAAGAGGAGUUCAGAUCUCUUUGAACUGGAAUUACUGGUGAUUGUGAGUUCCCAGAUGUAGGUGUUGGGGAUCGAAUCCAGGUCCUCUGAAAGAACAGCAAGUGCUGAGCCAUCUCUCCAGUGGUCAUCAGUAACAGUUUGAAGUACCAGAGACAUGCAUGGGAUAUUGUAGAGGCAGAGGAAUAACCUGACUGUCCUGGUGGGAGCAGGUUAAAAGAUAUAUGGGGAGAGAGAGUAGGGGGGGAGGGAGAAAGAAGCACUUGGCGUCCGCCGUAGUUCCAGUGCUGUAGAGGCGAGAGACGGAUGGAUCCCCUAGGACUCACUGGCCUGCCGCCACACUCUCAUAGG
rnacentral:lncRNA from 1 species